UACGGAGGGGGGCUAGCGUUGUUCGGAAUUACUGGGGCGUAAAGCGCGCGUAGGCGGCUUUGUAAGUUAGAGGUGAAAGCCCGGAGCUUAACUCCGGAACUGCCUUUAAGACUGCAUCGCUAGAAUUGUGGAGAGGUGAGUGGAAUUCCGAGUGUAGAGGUGAAAUUCGUAGAUAUUCGGAAGAACACCAGUGGCGAAGGCGGCUCACUGGUCCAUUACUGACGCUGAGGUGCGAAAGCGUGGGGAGCAAACAGG
rnacentral:rRNA from 1 species